rnacentral:lncRNA from 1 species
CUUAUAUACCAGCCGUCUCCCUCAGCUGGCAGUGUAGCUCUGUCAGUUUGACAUGGGCCAAUUCCUGUUGCACUGACAAUGCUUCUAUUUGGAUAACUGAUGCGAAAAGUGUCACUGUAAGAAGUCCACUUGCCACAUGGGAGUCUCCAGGAAUGUCAAAAUGAAGGACUCGGCCCUUUGGAGAAUCCAAAAUGAAAACAAAAUAAAGCCUACACCCUUCUAAGAGGAAAGGAAGAGAUAGCAUCUAAUAACAGGAAGAAGACCAAAAUCAUAGAAGACAAACAAAAAAGGAUUUCUGUGGAAAUCAAGGAAUUCCGCACAGAAGCACCCCAGUCCCAGGAUCGCUCCUUAGUUCCAGGCCAGCAGCCUCCAGCCUUCGCAUCUUCCUUUCCUUUGCUCUCCUU